UACAGAGGUCCCAAGCGUUGUUCGGAUUCACUGGGCGUAAAGGGUGCGUAGGCGGUUGGGUAAGUCUGACGUGAAAUCUCCGGGCCUAACCCGGAGACUGCGUUGGAUACUAUCCGGCUAGAGGAAUGGAGGGGAGACUGGAAUACUUGGUGUAGCAGUGAAAUGCGUAGAUAUCAAGUGGAACACCAGUGGCGAAGGCGAGUCUCUGGACAUUUCCUGACGCUGAGGCACGAAGGCCAGGGGAGCAAACGGG
rnacentral:rRNA from 1 species